rnacentral:misc_RNA from 1 species
UUGCUUUUGGUUUUCUUAAUCCCAUUGCUUAUAUUACAUACCUCUGAAUCCAAACUCUUUUAGCUUUAGCCUUCAAAUUCUUCAUGAAUACAGCCUUUAUCCUGUAGUGUUGUGGUAGGAAUUUCAUUUCAUUGGAAUGUUCUCUUAGAAUUUUAUCUUGGACCAUGCAUAGUUGGCACAUAUGCUACUGCCUACCUGGCAUAUUUUUUUGGUGGAUUUUUAUUUUUAAUUUGUGUGUGUGUG